CGUCUGAGCUUCAACAGUAAGCGGCCUCCUUCCGAACUCCUACAAGAAUCGGAUUCUGUCCGAACUUCUAUAAUAGAAUUGAAUUCUAGACUCCUCUAGCGGUCAACCUUCCACAGUGUUCUCAAGACUCAUCCAGUGGACAAACUUCCACAACGUCUUUCGAACUCCACUAUCGAUCGACCUUCUGCUGGAUUCCUCGUGAAACCAGACUUCUCCAACAGGAAGUUUCCAUCCGAGCUUCUACAGCAGAUGACUUCCAUCUGCAGCACCAACAGCACC
rnacentral:lncRNA from 1 species